ACGGUGAGGGGGAGGAGACUGGUUGGAGCCCGCCCUCCGCACAUGGCAAUCUCCUGCAGGCAGGGAGAGAGGAGGAAGACGGUGUGUGUAGCAGACAGAGCAAGACGCCUCUGUCCUGCUGGGGGCUGAGCUGUUGCUUUGACUACGGGGAACUCUGCUAGAAAGUGGAAUGUCUCCUGACCUGCCAGUCCUUAUCGCUGCUGGACGCUGCCCCUGGUUAUAGAUUGCAGCAAAAAUCCGGGAGCCCAUCUGACACUCCAGAGCACUACGGCUGGAGUCACACAUUUCUUGUACAGGAAACUGGUAAAAGUGACGGAAAUUUCUAGAACUCAACGCUGUCUAUAGGUAUG